rnacentral:rRNA from 1 species
AUUGAACGCUGGCGGCAGGCCUAACACAUGCAAGUCGAACGGUAACAGGAAGAAGCUUGCUUCUUUGCUGACGAGUGGCGGACGGGUGAGUAAUAUCUGGGAAACUGCCUGAUGGAGGGGGAUAACUACUGGAAACGGUAGCUAAUACCGCAUAACGUCGCAAGACCAAAGAGGGGGACCUUCGGGCCUCUUGCCAUCGGAUGUGCCCAGAUGGGAUUAGCUAGUAGGUGGGGUAACGGCUCACCUAGGCGACGAUCCCUAGCUGGUCUGAGAGGAUGACCAGCCACACUGGAACUGAGACACGGUCCAGGCUCCUACGGGAGGCAGCAGUGGGGAAUAUUGCACAAUGGGCGCAAGCCUGAUGCAGCCAUGCCGCGUGUAUGAAGAAGGCCUUCGGGUUGUAAAGUACUUUCAGCGGGGAGGAAGGGAGUAAAGUUAAUACCUUUACUCAUUGACGUUACCCGCAGAAGAAGCACCGGCUAACUCCGUG